GACAAAUCCAAAUCUCAUCAUGUAUCAUGUAUUCUCCCCCAUGCGCAAGUACCUCCCAUUGUAUCGGGGAGAGAGAGAGAGAGAGAGAGAGAGAGAGAGAGAGAGAGAGAGACACUGUUAAGUUCACUUGGGUAAGGUAAAGGUAAAAAGGUAAGGUAAAGGUAAUGGUAAAAAGGUAAGGUUAGGUAAGGCAGUGAGGAAACAAGGUAGUGGAGAUUUAAGCCAGAGGGAUUGCAAGAGCACAGGAAAUGCUCGAGAAAAAAAUUCCCACUUGCAUAGUUUACAGAAACUUGUAUGGAAGGGAUUAUCCAAAUGGCCCAUGUAGUGAAGCAGCUACUUAAGUCAUUAGUGUUGGUGUUUUUUUUUUUUUUUUUUUGUU